rnacentral:rRNA from 1 species
GACGAACGCUGGCGGCGUGCCUAAUACAUGCAAGUAGAACGCUGAAGAGAGGGGCUUGCUCUUCUUGGAUGAGUUGCGAACGGGCGAGUAACGCGUAGGUAACCUGCCUUGUAGCGGGGGAUAACUAUUGGAAACGAUAGCUAAUACCGCAUAACAAUGGAUGACACAUGUCAUUUAUUUGAAAGGGGCAAUUGCUCCACUACAAGAUGGACCUGCGUUGUAUUAGCUAGUAGGUGAGGUAAUGGCUCACCUAGGCGACGAUACAUAGCCGACCUGAGAGGGUGGUCGGCCACACUGGGACUGAGACACGGCCCAGACUCCUACGGGAGGCAGCAGUAGGGAAUCUUCGGCAAUGGGGGCAACCCUGACCGCGCAACGCCGCGUGAGUGAAGAAGGUUUUCGGAUCGUAAAGCUCUGUUGUAAGUCAAGAACGGGUGUGAGAGUGGAAAGUUCACACUAUGACGGUAGCUUACCAGAAAGGGACGGCUAACUACGUG